rnacentral:rRNA from 1 species
UGAGGAAUCUUCCACAAUGGACGAAAGUCUGAUGGAGCAACGCCGCGUGCAGGAUGAAGGCCUUAGGGUCGUAAACUGCUUUUAUAAGUGAAGAAUAUGACGGUAGCUUAUGAAUAAGCACCGGCUAACUACGUGCCAGCAGCCGCGGUCAUACGUAGGGUGCAAGCAUUAUCCGGAGUGACUGGGCGUAAAGAGUUGCGUAGGCGGUAAGUUAAGUGAAUAGUGAAACCUGGUGGCUCAACCAUACAGACUAUUAUUCAAACUGGCUUACUCGAGAAUGGUAGAGGUAACUGGAAUUUCUAGUGUAGGAGUGAAAUCCGUAGAUAUUAGAAGGAACACCAAUGGCGUAGGCAGGUUACUGGACCAUUUCUGACGCUAAGGCACGAAAGCGUGGGGAGCGAACC